AUCUAGAUGACGAGUCUCAAAUACAACGAAACACAUGUCCUAGAU
rnacentral:hammerhead_ribozyme from 1 species